GCCAAUGUGGUGUAAUGGUUUGAGCUUUGAACUGCAACUCUGAAGGUCAGGGUUUGAAUUCCUGCUUGGCCA